UACGGAGUAUCCAAGCGUUAUCCGGAAUCAUUGGGUUUAAAGGGUCCGUAGGCGGUUUAGUAAGUCAGUGGUGAAAGCCCAUCGCUCAACGGUGGAACGGCCAUUGAUACUGCUAAACUUGAAUUAUUAGGAAGUAACUAGAAUAUGUAGUGUAGCGGUGAAAUGCUUAGAGAUUACAUGGAAUACCAAUUGCGAAGGCAGGUUACUACUAAUGGAUUGACGCUGAUGGACGAAAGCGUGGGUAGCGAACAGG
rnacentral:rRNA from 1 species